rnacentral:snRNA from 1 species
GAUGGUGAGAACAACCUGGGUGCGAUAUCUCUUACAUCUGUGGUCAUCAGGGUUGAUUUGGCUGGCUAUGCAAGUGGCUUGUUCUUACAUCAUCACUUCAUGUACAUCUUUCCUGAAGUUUUGCUCUUGACAGAAGAGGAUAACCUACUUAGAUAACAGAGGACCAUUCUUCAUUCAAGGAUAUUUGAAUUAGACUCCUAUCCACCAAAGUACCUAAUCAUAUAGUUUUCUGAGAGCUGGUCUAUUUUAGGCAGUAACUACUUUGUACUGAAUUAAGCCUGACAUAGAAGAGACAUUUCACCUAAGCAGGACUU